rnacentral:rRNA from 1 species
UACAGAGGUCUCAAGCGUUGUUCGGAUUCAUUGGGCGUAAAGGGUGCGUAGGUGGCUCGCUAAGUCAGGGGUGAAAUUUCGGAGCUUAACUCCGAAACUGCAUUUGAUACUGGCGUGCUUGAGGACUGGAGAGGAGACUGGAAUUUACGGUGUAGCAGUGAAAUGCGUAGAGAUCGUAAGGAAGACCAGUGGCGAAGGCGGGUCUCUGGACAGUUACUGACACUGAGGCGCGAAGGCCAGGGGAGCAAACGGG